CUUUAAUGAAAUGAAGUGAAAUGAAAUGGAACUGAAAAGUGACCCAGUCUCACAGAGAAGCAGACUGCACACUACUGAAGUUGUGUGGUGUACAAAGUGUGCAGGAGAGUUAACAGGGGAAGAGACCAAGGGCAGCUGUAACAAAAUUCAGACAAAGGAGGAGAGCACAGUCCUGCCCCAGAAAAAUCUCUAG